rnacentral:lncRNA from 1 species
GUGAAGCUCCGAGCCGACGUGUCGCUUACGUGGUAAUACCAAGCUGACCUGUCGCCUACGUGGUAAUACUGAGCUAAUGUUGCACGUACGUGGUAAUACCGAGCUGAUGUCGGCAGAGCAGAGCAGAGCAGAUUCGGCAUAGCAGAGACGUAGAGUCGGGCAGAGCUGAGUCAGGCAGAGUCUGCAGAGCUGCCUCUGGCAAGGCUUAGUCAGCUCUGGAAUUGAAGAAUACUUAGUCAGCUCUGGAAUUGAAGAAUUCUGCCGCCGCCAUUCUCCAACACCACACCUCUUUCUCCAUCGGCCUCCCCCACCACCAUCACCAGAUCUGCCGCCCCCUCCGCUCCUCCACCCCCAUCACCAGAGCUCUGCCAUCGUUGACCACCAUCUCCUCCUGCAUCGCUAUCAUCUUCUUCGAUGAGCCUAGGGCCUCCAUUGAAGGAAUCAGAUGGGUGAAUUGAAAAUUUGUCGAUUUGGGGAAUGGGUUUCCUUUAAUUGUUGGGAAAUUUUCGAUUUUGAUCUUGUGUGUGUGUGUUAGCGUUGCUGGUGUUGAAAAUCAAGCAAAUAGACAGAAAAUUAGGGCUCUGCGUUGGGGUGGACCGGAUGUAGCCGCUGCCCUCCGAUGUAGUCGCUGCGGAUUUCUUUCCGACGACGAUGGUGGUGGCGUCUUUGGGGGUGGACGAAGAAAGAGCAGUAAACAGAAAAUUAGGGCUCUGCAAGACUGAGGGCAGAGAGGAGAAGACGGGGGCUGGAAUUUGAGGUAAAACGACGUCGUUUCACCCCCAACUAAACGACGUCAUUUUGGUUUCCGUCCGACGGCUCCAUGUCAUAUUUCAGGUGACUGAAAAGUGCCAUGUCAGCACUCUAUUUGGGGUUUUCUCAAAAUCAUGGCAAAAUUGAUCAAUUGGUUAAGUUCUGGGAAAAUUUGAUAAAAAAAAAAAGUUCAUGGCAAACUUGAAAAUCGGC